rnacentral:rRNA from 1 species
UACGGAGGGUGCGAGCGUUGUCCGGAAUCAUUGGGCGUAAAGGGCGCGUAGGUGGCCCGGUCAGUCCGUGGUGAAAGCGCGGGGCUCAACCCCGCGUCGGCCAUGGAUACUGCUGGGCUUGAGCACUGUAGAGGCAGGCGGAAUUCCGGGUGUAGCGGUGGAAUGCGUAGAGAUCCGGAAGAACACCGGUGGCGAAGGCGGCCUGCUGGGCAGGAAGACACCGCAAGGUGUCGGCUGACGCUGAGGCGCGACAGCGUGGGAGCAAACAGG